UCAUGAGCUAAUGGAAGUCGGUAUUUCUGCCUCAGAUUGGUUGGUGACGCCCUUGGCCAUGUGGGGAGCGAGGAAUUUGGUGGCGGCGGCGAGCCUCGUGAUGGUGGCGGCAGGGGCGGCGGCUGCUGAUGUCACGGUGUACAGGGACAGCGGGCAAGGCUCCUGCGGGGAUGACCUGAUGAAGUUACGCUCCGAGUCUGAGACUGUGUGCGCCAUCGCCUGUUCAAAAGAGUCCCGGUGCAGUGCGUUCAGCUACAAGAAGGUGCCCCCCGCGAGGUACUGCCAACUCCACCAAACCUUCAGCCAACUAGACGGGGCCGCUGAUACCACAUGCUACCUACCCAGGACUCAGGAGGAUGUGGCAGCGGAGGCAACGACACAGCAGACGAGAGAAGGGACAGCAACGGAGACACCACCACCACCAACAACAGCGUCAACGUCACCACCACCACCACCACCAACAACA